rnacentral:tRNA from 1 species
GCCGAAAUAGCUCAGUUGGGAGAGCGUUAGACGGAAGAUCCAAAGGUCCUUGGUUCGAUCCCGGGUUUUGGCG